AAAAAGGCAAACCCUGGGUUUCCGUGUCCAACUUUGACUGUCCGUCUUAUAUAAAUUUUUUUUUAAUAAUUCGUAUUUUCAUUGUUGUUAGAUGAUAAAAUAUUAUUAAUAUUUUAUACGUGACUUGUCUUUUUAAUUUUUUUCAUAAUUUUUUCAAAUAAGACGGACAGUCAAACAGUGGACACAGAAACCAGGGUUUGUCUUUUU
rfam:Oryza rufipogon genomic scaffold, chr01